CAACUUCAAUCUGCUGGAUGUUGCAGACGGUUUCUUUCAAUUCUGGCUCUUUCUGACUUUCAUCAUCUUCUUGGCUAGCCUCCCUACAUGAAUCAUUGGUUAGAAUAUCAUCUUUUAUAUCAAAAAUACCUUUGCUCAGACAAUCAAUGAUAUUUGAAUUAUCAACAAGUUCUGUUUGAUCCGUUGGUUGGGACAAACAGUAUUCUGGUUGUGUUUCUUCAGCAACUCGAUCUUGUACUUGCCAACUUUCAUCAUCUAUCUCUUCAGCUUGAAGCUCUUCCUCUUUUCUUACCAUGUCUGCAUCUUCCCAUUGUUCCAUCCACUGUUGGAUGUUUUGCAUUCUUUGUUCGAUGCCUUGCAAAGAAAUUGCAAAUGUCUCCAUCAUCUCCUUAAGUUGUUGGUCGUAACUUGGAGGUUCUGGUUGGGCUUGAUAUUCUUGAUAAUCCUGGUAGUAGUUAGCCUCAAUAUAGCCGUAGUUCGGUUGGUCUCCCCAAUAUGGACUAUAUGUGUUAUAGUAUGGAUCAUGCCUUGGCUGUUCAUAGUAUCUUCCAUACGCAUGUGCUUGUUGGUCCCUUGCAUAGCCACAAUUUGGAUGGUCUCUCCAAUAUGGAUUGUAUGUGUCAUGGUAGGGAUCAUGUCUUGGUGGCUGAAAGUGUUGAGCUCGACCUACGGUAUAGCUAUCCACAAGAGCGGUUAGUUUUGAAAUUCGAUAAUCAAGAUCAGAUGUACUUACCUCAUCCAUGAUUCAGAUCUGGUCAUGAAAGGCUUUUUGUGCUCAAUUUUUUUUUUUUUUUUGGAAGAAUGUCCUUGAGUGCAGAUUUGGCCUUGAAAGAAAAAUAAACAAGUUAGAUCAAUUCCCCGGCAACGGCGCCAAUUUUUGACA
rnacentral:lncRNA from 1 species